rnacentral:misc_RNA from 1 species
GAAAUGCGAUAAUUAAUGUGAAUUGCAGAAUUCAGUGAAUCAUCGAGUCUUUGAACGCACAUUGCGCCCCCUGGUAUUCCGGGGGGCAUGCCUGUCCGAGCGUCAUUGCUGCCCUCAGGCACGGCUUGUGUGUUGGGCUUCCGUCCCUGGCAACGGGGACGGGCCCAAAAGGCAGUGGCGGCACCAUGUCUGGUCCUCGAGCGUAUGGGGCUUUGUCACCCGCUCCCGUAGGUCCAGCUGGCAGCUAGCCUCGCAACCAAUCUUUUUAACCAGGUUGACCUCGGAUCAGGUAGGGAUACCCGCUGAACUUAAGC